AUUGAACGCUGGCGGAAUGCUUUACACAUGCAAGUCGAACGGCAGCACGGACUUCGGUCUGGUGGCGAGUGGCGAACGGGUGAGUAAUGUAUCGGAACGUGCCCAGUCGUGGGGGAUAACGUAGUGAAAAUUACGCUAAUACCGCAUACGAUCUAUGGAUGAAAGCGGGGGAUCGCAAGACCUCGCGCGAUUGGAGCGGCCGAUAUCAGAUUAGGUAGUUGGUGGGGUAAAGGCCCACCAAGCCAACGAUCUGUAGCUAGUCUGAGAGGACGGACAGCCACACUGGGACUGAGACACGGUCCAGACUCCUACGGGAGGCAGCAGUGGGGAAUUUUGGACCAUGGGCGAAAGCCUGAUCCAGCCAUUCCGCGUGCAGGAUGAAGGCCCUCGGGUUGUAAACUGCUUUUGUACAGAACGAAAAGGUUUCUACUAAUACUAGGAGCUCAUGACGGUACUGUAAGAAUAAGCACCGGCUAACUACGUGCCAGCCGCCGCGGUAA
rnacentral:rRNA from 1 species